ACUCAAAUGAAUUGACGGGGACCCGCACAAGCGGUGGAGCAUGUGGUUUAAUUCGAUGCAACGCGAAGAACCUUACCUGGCCUUGACAUCCACGGAAUUCUGCAGAGAUGCGGAAGUGCCUUCGGGAACCGUGAGACAGGUGCUGCAUGGCUGUCGUCAGCUCGUGUCGUGAGAUGUUGGGUUAAGUCCCGCAACGAGCGCAACCCUUGUCCUUAGUUGCCAUCAUUCAGUUGGGAACUCUAAGGAGACCGCCGGUGACAAACCGGAGGAAGGUGGGGAUGACGUCAAGUCAUCAUGGCCUUUAUGGCCAGGGCUACACACGUGCUACAAUGGCAGGUACAGAGGGAAGCCAACGCGCGAGCGGGAGCCAAUCCCAGAAAGCCUGUCGUAGUCCGGAUCGGAGUCUGCAACUCGACUCUGUGAAGUUGGAAUCGCUAGUAAUCGCAGAUCAGCAUUGCUGCGGUGAAUACGUUCCCGGGUCUUGUACACACCGCCCGU
rnacentral:rRNA from 1 species